AAAGAGAGAGAGAGAGAGAGAGUAGUGGUGAUACCAAAGUGUGGAAAACUGGUAGUCUUGAUAGUCAACAAUAAACAGAGUGGAAAGAACUACAAUAGUAUUUAUUCUCUCUCCUGAAUUGACACGUAUCAAUGAUGUUCCCUGCACAGUGUGGCAUUGGACAAAAUAAACUGGGAAUCACUUCGAUAAAUUGGUGAGAUCAAAAUUCCUUUCAAUCAGAAGCACAUGGAACUUGUUGGCAAUUUCACUUAAUCCAGCAUCUGAGAAUGCAUCCAAAAGCCUUCCACAGGCAGUGAUAUCAAAGUCUGUAAUAGUAGACUGUUUCCACUGAUCAAGAACUUCUCCCGCUUCGUUCACAUGUCCAAGCAUCAGAUAUGAAGAAAGGAUGCAAAUGAAGUUUCUGUUUGUCAUUUUUUGUUUAGUCAUUCUUAAGGAUUUCCAUAUUUUAUCAACUUUAUCUUUGUCUCGUAAACCUGCAUACAGAAUGAUAAGGAAGUCAUAUGUUAUCCAUUCUCUUUGCAUGAUACUCUUCCCUGCUUCAACAACGGUACUGGACUCCGCAUUCACAAGAUGACCUGCUUUAACAUAUAUAUUGGCAAUGUCAAUGUAUCUAAGCCAAUCAUCAUUACAACCAGGAUUGUGGCUCAUUUCAUCCAAUAUCCUCAUAACUUGAUUAAUAUUUAGAGUUGCAGCACAUGAACUUAUCCAUAGAUUGUAAGUGAAGAUGUCAGGGGCAACCUUCUGACGUUUCAGUUCUUCAACAGCUAAUGAGACUUUCUCCACCUGCCCUAUUGACAUAUACAGAGUCAUCAUCUCAUUAUAUGGGAGAACAGUGAAGGACAGGUUUGAUCCUUUUAUUCUCUCAUAAAGCUCUUCAGCCUUUUCUAGUAAUUUUGACCCAGCAUAAGAGUGAAGGAGUGCAGUAUAGGUUUCGCUAGUUUUUGCCGAGACAGGUAGACCUUCAAAAUAGCGUUCCGCAGCAUCAAUACCAAAAACUUUUGUCAUCAAGUCAAUACGAGUUGCAUAGUCAGAGUCUGAUAACUCAAACUCUUUAUUUGUAACCAUCCACUCUGAUAUCUGCAAACUCAUAUCAAUUGUAAAACAUAAAUGAAUAGUAUUUAAUGACCAGACACUAUGAAAGGUUAAAUAUUUUCAUAUCAAGAAGUAGAGUGAUAAUUAUCUAUUCAAACCCCUCAGUAAUUGAAGGAAGCCAAAAAAUAAAGGUAAAAGCUAAAUUUGGCUCCUAAACUUGGCCAAUGUCUAAUUACAGCCAAAAUUAAGUUUUAGGGCCAACUUAGGAUGCAACUUUUAUUUUAGGCCAGUUGAACCCAAUUUUUUAAUCAAAUUUAUUUCAGAAGAUAAUAAAUAAUAAAAGCUUGACAUUAUAGGACUCCAACAUUUUAUUUCUUAAGCCUCUCAAUAAUCAUAUCGAGCAUAGUCAGAUGCUCCAGAAAGUAAAUUGUCGCUCAGAGCCACAAGUCUAAUGAAAUUUUUCUAACACAGCCAUAAAUGUUACCACGUAUUUAUUCCAACCCAUGGGGAGAAUUAAGAAUUCAGAAUACAAAAGAAAAUGGCUUGCAAUUUCCUUCAGUUCAAAACAUGAUUUGGCAACAAAGUAUCCUUGUUAUCUACUUAGCUCUAACCUAGCACACCCACCCAAAGAAUUAUCAUUUGAACCUCUCCCCCUCUUGUUUAUUACUUGAUUUCUGGUUUACUCCAUUCAGUUAACCUCAAGUUUUACCCUUUCUCCACUCUAGCAAUCCCACUUUUUUACUACAAUGUUCCUGUUUUAUAAUUUGAGUUGUUGCUUCAUAAUAUGAUACUGGUCCCCUUUUCUUCCACCAAUACCAUGAAAAAUCAGAAUUUUCCUUCUUAUAACAGUUUGACAUAUAUAAGAGAGCAUGAAAAGACAUAAGCACUGCAUAAUUCAUUAUUUCCAUUGACACUAAGACAUAUUUAAGAGAAAGCAAAAUUAUGAAGUUUGUAACUCUAUAACACUUAGAUUAUUC
rnacentral:misc_RNA from 1 species